GUUGCAAAUGCCAAAAGCAUGGAAGUAGUUAUUCCACAGUAAUAAUAGUUUGAAACAGAAAGUUGAUAGACAAAAGGGUUUUUUUCUAUAAGUAGUUGGGUCCUUCCUCCAUUCACCAUUUCCCUCCAAUCCCUAAUUCCCAAAAUUCACAGACACCAACCAACCAUGUUCACUCAAAUUCUUAGAUAGUUACUUAGUUAGCUCUUUCCGCCAUGGAAGGUAACAAGGACGAAGCAUUACGCUGCGUUCGCAUCGCCGAAGAAGCCAUCGCGUCGAGAAACAAAGACCGCGCCCUCAAAUUCCUCAAAAUCGCGCAACGUCUCAACCGCGAUUUGCCCCUCCAAUCCCUGCUCGACAAGUGCAACCGCCUCGAUUCUCACACCGCCUCCACCGCAGGCGGCAGCGGCGCCUCUCUGGCGAACGGCCACUCUCCUCGUCGCGAGGGCUUAGACGUGGAAAGAAAUUACACGGAGGAAAACGUGCACUUAAUUAGGGAAAUCAAAGGAAAGAGCGAUUAUUACGCGAUUCUAGGAUUAGAGAAGAGUUGCUCCGUGGAAGAGAUUCGAAAAGCGUAUCGGAAGCUCUCUCUCAAAGUUCAUCCCGAUAAGAACAAAGCUCCAGGCUCCGAAGACGCGUUCAAGAAGGUUUCCAAGGCUUUCAAGUGUUUGAGCGACGACGGUUCCAGAAGGAUGUACGACCAAACCGGAACCGCCGCCGACGAUUUCGAGAGCACCGAGGUAAACACGUUCCGGCGUAGAAGAAGAAGAACGGCGACGACGCGCGAUUUCUUCGAAGACGAGUUCGAUCCGGACGAGAUAUUCAGGGCGUUCUUCGGACACUCCGACGUGUUCGGAAGAAACAACCACGUUUACCGAACCCGCGGCGGGAUGGGGAAUCCGAAUCAUCAGCAUAGGCAUGAAUUCAAUGCUGGAGGAUCGGGAGGGAGGCAUCACAAUGUGAUGCUUCUGAUUCAGCUCUUGCCGUUUUUGAUUAUUGUGCUGCUCGCGUACUUGCCGUUUUCGGAGCCUGAGUAUUCCUUGCACAAGCAUUACAGCUACCAGAUUCCGAAGACCACGGAUCGGCACGGGGUUCAGUUCUUCGUGAAGUCGGCGGCGUUUGAUGUGAAUUAUCCGCCCGGGAGUGAUGCUCGUGAGGCAGUUGAGGAGAGUGUGAUGAAGGAUUAUAGGAGUAUGCUGAGAAGAUACUGUCAGGUGGAGAUGCAGAGACGGAGCUGGAAUAGGAAUCUGCCAGCUCCUCACUGUGAUAAGCUGCAUAACUUUGCAGUGAUGGCAUGAAGGUGAUCAACACAGAGUCUGAGUCUUUACUGGUUACUGCAGAUGUUUCAGUUUCAAUCACUCCUCUGUCAUCUUGGAACUGCCUGACUGUGUCUCCACCACAAUUCCCCUGUUUGGUUUUGUUCCUUCUCUGGUUGGCCUUGUUCCUAUCAAAAGUGGCUACAUGGAUAGUUUUUUCCUUGGCUCAAGGAAGUCUUGUAUCAGUUGCUGAGUUUUUGUGCACAUUUUAUUCUUCAGGAUAUCUAAUAUAGCCGUGGGAGUGGCUCUUAUUACAGGCUGUAUGCUAACUGAGUAGCUGCCAGUCUAGUGCUGUACACUUCUUGCUGUGAGAAGUCUGAUAAAUAUGCUUAAAAAUGUGUUGUUAUUGUUUGAGGGAUAUAUGGAUGGGAUUAUCUAUUAUGCUAUAUACGAUUAUAAUAGAUGCAGAACAUGGCAGCAAAUAAUUACUCAAGUCGUAGUCAUAAGUAUCAGCAGUUGGGUAUUUGAAUACAAGCCCACGAUCUGAGUUUUCUAUAUUACUCGAGGGUAACAGGUUAUAUAUAUAGUUGUUGUAGGCAUGUGAUAAAGGAAAGCAACCUAUUGCUUCAUUCAAGUGAGUUACUAUUACAUCAGUUAAGAAAGCCAUGUAAUCAUCUGAUUGAAUUUGUUUUUUACCAGGUUUGUGAAUUUUCCUUUCCUGUCUCUGUCUGGUAAGAGUACUACUUGGAUUGGUGAUUAAAUGUUGGACUCCGGUGACACCAUUUUACGGUAAAAAAAAUGGCAAAACAAUAAUCUAAUGCAUCUUGCUUACUCAUACAGUUUCAAUUACGUGUGAUUCCCCUUUCUGGAUCUGUUUUCUUUUCAAUAUAUGAAACUUUCAAAUGAUUGGGAUGUGAAAAAUAGGAUGUUCAACAUGCACACAGGCAUCAUAUGAAAACAAGAAUGAAAUUCACUUGGCUGAUGAGUAUUGAACCAUAGAGGUCAUGAGAUGCAAAAUAUUUGGAUCUCGGUCCUCACUGUCUCUGCUUGUUUUCCUGGAUACAUCGUACAGAUCAAUGAUAAGCACCUAGUUUAUUAUUAAAAGCACAUGCACACGGAUAUUGUUUGGAGGCGGAUUGUCAGUUGGUACAGCAUCUUUUGUGGAUCUUCGGUGUGAAGAAGAUUCUCUUUGCCUCUUGUUGAUGUUUUUGCAUAAUCUUGACUGAAGCAUAACUACUUAGCACUAUACUAGUAAGCAAAAAAUUUCAAAGUCAUAGACCCAAAGGCAGGCUGGUAUAACCGCUAGUGUGAUCAAACAAAAAUCGUCCAAUGAUGUUAUAGUAAAGAUGAUUUUUUUA